CUAAAGCAAUUUUUGAGAGCUUGGGGUGGGUGGUACUGGCAGGGGAGAGAAGAAAAAUGAUUAAAUUUAGAAGUACUUGAAAAUUUUUAUAGGUAUUUUCUCUUGAAUAUAAAAAAUUAAAUUGUGCAGAAUUUUCUUGGGUGUAAAGCUCUGAUAGGAGAAAAAUGCUAAACGUGGAGAUCAAUACUAGGGUGAAAUUGCCAUCUUGCUUGGCAAUGGGAAAGCAGUGGAUGACAUUUACCCUGAUUUCAGCAAGCUUUCAGCAUGAUCUUCCAUAGAACCCUUUUUUCAAGAUGGAGAUGUGUGGACAGGCACAAGGAAUACAAGCACCACCAGGAAGGAUUUCCCAUCCCAGAAGAAAAUUUCUUGGUCUUCAGCUCCUAUUCACCUUAAGAAUGCAAUGUUUGUUGAAUUUUUCUUUGCUAUGUUUCAAACAGGAGAUGGUUAAGCAACACAUUUUUUCCUUCCCUGUUUAUUUCCUUGAAGUCUAACUUGAGACACAAAAUUUGUUAAGGUAUAGACACAAACUUUGAUUGCUAAUGUGUUUCACUGAUUGCUAAUAUGUUUCAUUGAUUCCACUCUUGCCACAAGAUGUAAUGGAAGUAUGUUGGCCUAGUUAAGAUAAUGUACAUUUUUUAGGCUGAAUGCAACUGUCAAUGCAAAUUGGUCUAGUGAAUUUAUGAAAUGUAUUUCUCUUGUACUUACCAGUGGCCAAUUUGAGUUUCAUGUGCUUUUCUGGUGAGCUAGCCAUCCAUUAACUCAGCAUAUAUCUUGUGGCUGUUAAAUCAUGCAGAUGGUCUAGAGGUGUGUUCAAACUAACAUACUGCCUGACAUGUGGAAACACUUAAUACUAAGAGCAAGAGUUCAUAUCAACCUGUAUGCUUGAAGAUAUGCCAUUUAGACUGCCAAGUUUUAGGGUGAGGGUAGAGGUUCAUGGCUAUGAAGAUAUGGAAUGUAGUAAUAUUCCAAAAGAUAACUAGUAGUGUGUAAAUUUGCAAGCAGUAUCCAAAGAAGCAAAAAACUUAGUCAUGUGGCAAUUACCAUUUGGAACAGUGGCUCUGAUUGCGAUGCCUACAAGCGAAAUAAAUCUGAAAUCCUAGUCUAAUGCUACUGAAAUGAUCUGGUGGUCUUGUGUGGAAAGCAAAGUAAUCCAAAUAUAGUUGUAUGUAGGUUAUGGGAGGUCCUCUGAACUUGGAAAAUAACUUUUGUUGUUGUUUGCUUGCCUAGAAGGAAAAACAGUUCUUAUUUUUAAAAGCUGUGAAACUGUUUCAGAAGAUGUCUUCUCAUCAACAUAAAAUUUCUGCUGUGCUCUAAUGAAGUGUUGGCUUCUGGCUAUGUUAAACUUGAUUAUAAUUAUUUUCCUCCUAACACCUUUGUAUCUUAUGAUUCUUGCCUCAUCAAGUCUGAUAGCAGAUGCAGAAUUAAAAGAAAGUGCAAAUGUUUAAUUCAUGGUAAUUUGUUCAAAUUUUUAUGAUCUGAAUAAAAUAGCCUGUAUGAUA